CGCUGGCGGCGUGCUUAACACAUGCAAGUCGUACGAACGGCGGAGGGCUUGCUCUCCAACGUUAGUGGCGAACGGGUGCGUAACACGUGAGCAACCUGCCCUUUGGCGGGGGAUAGCCGGCCUAACGGCCGGGUAAUACCGCGUAUUGCAUCACUGUCGCAUGGCGGUGAUGUGAAAGCCUUCGGGCACCAGAGGAGGGGCUCGCGGCCUAUCAGCUUGUUGGUGGGGUAACGGCCUACCAAGGCUACGACGGGUAGCUGGUCUGAGAGGAUGAUCAGCCACAUUGGGACUGAGAUACGGCCCAGACUCCUACGGGAGGCAGCAGUGGGGAAUAUUGCGCAAUGGCCGCAAGGCUGACGCAGCGACGCCGUGUGUGGGAUGAAGGCCCUCGGGUUGUAAACCACUGUCAGGAGGGACGAACGCUC
rnacentral:rRNA from 1 species